rnacentral:rRNA from 1 species
GAUGAACGCUGGCGGCGUGCUUAACACAUGCAAGUCGAACGAUGAAGCUGGAGCUUGCUCUGGCGGAUUAGUGGCGAACGGGUGAGUAACACGUGAGAAAUCUGCCCUUGACUCUGGGUUAACUGCGGGAAACUGUAGCUAAUACCGGAUACUUUCCCUGGUGGGCAUCCACUGGGGAAGAAAGAAUUUCGGUCAAGGAUGAUCUCGCGGCCUAUCAGCUUGUUGGUGAGGUAAUGGCUCACCAAGGCGACGACGGGUAGCCCGCCUGAGAGGGUGACCGGCCACACUGGGACUGAGACACGGCCCAGACUCCUACGGGAGGCAGCAGUGGGGAAUAUUGCACAAUGGGCGCAAGCCUGAUGCAGCAACGCCGCGUGAGGGAUGAAGGCCUUCGGGUUGUAAACCUCUUUUAGCAGGGAAGAAGCGAAAGUGACGGUACCUGCAGAAAAAGCACCGGCUAACUACGUGCCAGCAGCCGCCGUAA